GUAACCCACGCGAAAGUUAGGACUAAUACCUUAUGUAUUCGUUUGAUCUCAUGAGAUUACGAAUAAAGAUUUAUCGGUUAUGGAUGGGGAUGCGUCUGAUUAGCUUGUUGGCGGGGUAACGGCCCACCAAGGCAACGAUCAGUAGGGGUUCUGAGAGGAAGGUCCCCCACAUUGGAACUGAGACACGGUCCAAACUCCUACGGGAGGCAGCAGCC
rnacentral:rRNA from 1 species